rnacentral:tRNA from 1 species
GGCCGGGCUGGACGGGGACGGCCCCGGGCCCGCCGUGCUCGGCGGACUCGGGGCCACCCGGAUCACCUUCGGGCCGGGCCUCC